ACGCUCGACACCUACGGAGGCAGCAGUAGGGAAUCUUCCACAAUGGACGCAAGUCUGAUGGAGCAACGCCGCGUGAGUGAAGAAGGUCUUCGGAUCGUAAAACUCUGUUGUUAGAGAAGAACACGAGUGAGAGUAACUGUUCAUUCGAUGACGGUAUCUAACCAGCAAGUCACGGCUAACUACGUGCCAGCAGCCGNGGUAAUCUGAGCGGGCUGGCAAGGC
rnacentral:rRNA from 1 species